AGGAUUGUUUCGAUUCGGAUCGGGUCAAUAGGUAACGGAGCCCCCUUAAGCUGUUCAUGUCGCUCUUCACCAAUCGAAAAAGCGAACCCUAGAAUAUUUGCUUGAGAGACUCGGAUUCUUCCUUCUAUUUCCUCUGCAUCCAAUCUCAUUCCACAACCAGACGAGACUCUUCGCCUUCAUUCAGAUAUCGAAAUCAAGCUUCGAUGGCCAUAUUUCGUGCCGCCAUGGACAUGGCCCGACGUGGUGGCAACCGCCUAUUCCGCACCGCCAUGAACAUGUCUCGACGUGGUGUCUCCGUUAACCAUGCCCCUCUUGGAGUUCCUGCUCAUCCUGAAAGCUAUACCUUGACAUUUACCGCAGAGCACCUAAAACUUGUACUGAUUAUAGCUGCUGGACAUGUCAUGGGGCGCGGACUUACUCGUGUUUUAUUUGGUCCUCCACCUCAUCAACGUGAGAAAGCAUGAACAGCUAUGGAAAUAAGAUGAGCAAGUGUCAGUUUGGUGUUUCUUUUAUGCAAUGCGCUGUGCUAGCUAGUUGUGGUAAUGUUUGGUGUAGAAACUUUAGGUGAAACAUAUUCACUUCCCUUUCCCCUUCUUUUCAUAUAGCAUGAACAAUAUGGAAUGAAACUUAAUAAUGUCCAGCUUGGGGAAUAGUUAAAAGGUGCUUUCUCGGAAUUGAACUAUUUUAUUAUGCUUUCUUUAAAAUAAUGAUGAGAAUAAAUAUAACAUAUUAGUAAUAGUA